UCCGAUCAACGAUGUGUUAUAUUAUUUGUCUGGAUAAAGGAGAAAGAUGUAUGGAAUAUUUAUAAAUCGGUAUUGCCAAUGGAUUAUUUGUGACGGCUACGUAGGCAGACAAGUGUUUAUAUUCGGGGAGGACGCUUUCUUGGAAAUUGAGAAUGGAUUUUACAACAAAAAUGUGUUACGCCAUACAAUCGAACCGCGGUAACGAGUGCUUCGCUCGAGCCUGCGCCCGUAUAUAAAAAGAAAAAAGAAACGCUCUCGCCAUAACGACGGUCAAUCCAGCCUCACAAUCACAUGCAGAUCAUCGGGUCACGGCAACCGAUUAUCUAGCCCCUAUGAAACGCGACGAUAUAAUUAGCCUAAUAAAUAAAUGCCAGCCGGCAUAAAGCGUCCGAGGAGUAGCACCGAAAAGCAAGAAAGAAAGAAAGCAAGAAAGAAAGAAAGAAAGAAAGAAA